GGGGCAGUGGCUCAAUGGCAGAGUAUCUGUGUGGCUUGCAGAAGGCCCCAGGUUCAAUCCCCAGCGCCUCCA
rnacentral:tRNA from 1 species